rnacentral:misc_RNA from 1 species
AUGCUGUGCGUGGAUUAUGGGCACGUCGUUCAAGACUGAACUUAGUUGGUGCUCAUAUUAAUGUAUUUACAGGUGAAUGGACACAAAAGGAUGCAGGAAUAGGAACCAGUAUUGAUUCUUUCUAUGAGUAUCUCUUAAAGGCUUAUAUGUUAUUUGGAGAUGAGGAGUAUUUGUUCAUUUUCCAAGAAGCUUAUGCGGCUGUUAUGCAGUAUCUUUAUAAUGAUCCUUGGUAUGUAGAGGUAAAUAUGGAUUCUGCUGCUAUUGUCUGGCCACUAUUUAACAGUCUGCAGGCAUUCUGGCCAGGCCUUCAGGUUUUAGCUGGAGACAUCGAUCCCGCCAUUCAAACACAUGCGGC